UACGGAGGAUGCAAGCGUUAUCCGGAAUGAUUGGGCGUAAAGCGUCCGCAGGUGGCAAUGUAAGUCUGCUGUCAAAGCGUCUGGCUCAACCAGAUAAAGGCAGUGGAAACUACAUAGCUAGAGUAAGGUAGGGGUAGGAGGGAAGUUCCUGGAUGUGAGCGGUGAAAUGCGUAGAGAUCAGGAAGAACACCGGUGGCGAAAGCGCUCUGCUGGACCUUAACUGACACUGAGGGACGAAAGCUAGGGGAGCGAAUGGG
rnacentral:rRNA from 1 species